rnacentral:rRNA from 1 species
UACCAGCACCCCGAGUGGUCGGGACGUUUUAUUGGGCCUAAAGCAUCCGUAGCCGGUUCUACAAGUCUUCCGUUAAAUCCACCUGCUUAACAGAUGGGCUGCGGAAGAUACUAUAGAGCUAGGAGGCGGGAGAGGCAAGCGGUACUCGAUGGGUAGGGGUAAAAUCCGUUGAUCCAUUGAGGACCACCAGUGGCGAAAGGCGGCUUGCCAGAACGCGCUCGACGGUGAGGGAUGAAAGCUGGGGGGAGCAAACCGGGAU